rnacentral:rRNA from 1 species
CAGCAGCCGCGGUAAUACGGAGGGAGCUAGCGUUGUUCGGAAUUACUGGGCGUAAAGCGCGCGUAGGCGGUUACUCAAGUCAGAGGUGAAAGCCCGGGGCUCAACCCCGGAACUGCCUUUGAGACUAGGCAACUAGAAUCUUGGAGAGGUCAGUGGAAUUCCGAGUGUAGAGGUGAAAUUCGUAGAUAUUCGGAAGAACACCAGUGGCGAAGGCGACUGACUGGACAAGUAUUGACGCUGAGGUGCGAAAGCGUGGGGAGCAAACAGGAUUAGAUACCCGGGUAGUCCCUGUCUCUUAUAA